GUGUUAAUAAUUCAAUUGUCAACCUUUAAUAGUCCGGCAACUCCCGGACAACUUGGAAAAUAGAACGGGCAGAAAAUUGCAUUGGUGGUUUUUGGGCAGAGAAAUUUAUAUUUAUAAUAAAUGGAAAUACGUGCGAAAGUUAUGACGAAUACGAUUUUGUGUGCCAAAUUGUAAUCGUUAUAGCAUUUUGAAGUAUCCACCAACUGCGCUGCAAGUUGCAAUGGGCAAAGAUCAAGAUCUGCUGGAAGCAGCACGCAUUGGUAAUAUUGCUGUAGUCGGCAAAAUUCUUGAGCAGAUUACAAAACGCAGCAGUGGGCCUUUCUCAAGCUUUCGUCGCAGU